rnacentral:rRNA from 1 species
GAUGAACGCUGGCGGCGUGCCUAAUACAUGCGAGUCGAACGCUGGAGAUCUAGCUUGCUAGAUCGAAGGAGUGGCGAACGGGUGAGUAAUACAUAAGCAACCUACCCACGAAGACUGGGAUAAUCUCUGGAAACGGGGACUAAUACCGGAUAGGUAAUCGGAAGGCAUCUUCUGGUUAUUAAAGGUUAAAAACACUGGUGGAUGGGCUUAUGGCGCAUUAGUUAGUUGGUGAGGUAACGGCCCACCAAGACGAUGAUGCGUAGCCGGCCUGAGAGGGUGAACGGCCACAUUGGGACUGAGACACGGCCCAGACUCCUACGGGAGGCAGCAGUAGGGAAGUUUCGGCAAUGGGGGCAACCCUGACCGAGCAACGCCGCGUGAGUGAAGACGGCCUUCGGGUUGUAAAGCUCUGUUGUAAGGGAAGAACGGUAGAUAGAGAAUAUCUAAGUGACGGUACCUUACCAGAAAGCCACGGCUAACUACGUG